rnacentral:tRNA from 1 species
GGGCUUGUGGUUUAGUGGUAUAAUACUCCCUUAGCAUGGACGAUCCACUGACGACGAUCUACCUCACGAUAGCUUCGUUCCUGGGAUCCGCCUACUGAGUUGGGAGUGGUCCGGGGUUCGAUUCCCCGCGAGUCCA